rnacentral:rRNA from 1 species
CUGACGGCAUGCCUAACACAUGCAAGUCGAACGCCUGUAGCAAUACAGGAGUGGCAGACGGGUGCAAAAACGCGUGGAAACCUAUCCUUGGGGUUCGGAAUAACCGCGGGGAAACUGCGGCUAAUACCGGAUACGUCCUUCGGGAGAAAGAUUUAUCGCCCAUUGAGGGGUCCGCGUCUGAUUAGCUAGUUGGUGAGGUAAUGGCUCACCAAGGCGACGUAUCAGUAGCUGGUCUGAGAGGAUGAUCAGCCACACUGGAACUGAGACACGGUCCAGACUCCUACGGGAGGCAGCAGUGGGGAAUAUUGGACAAUGGGCGCAAGCCUGAUCCAGCAAUGCCGCGUGGGUGAUGAACGGCCUUCGGGUUGUAAAGCCCUUUUGGCGGGGACGAUGAUGACGGUACCCGCCGAAUAAGCUCCGGCUAACUUCGUGCCAGCAGCCGCGGUAAUACGAAGGGAGCUAGCGUUGUUCGGAAUUACUGGGCGUAAAGGGCGCGUAGGCG